rnacentral:lncRNA from 1 species
CAUAUCUCUGGACAUUCCUCUCUCUCCGUCCAUCUUCCCUCGUUCCAGUGGGAGUGUCAGUGUGAUGGAUGAGAGUGGUGUUGAAGUGGAGGUGAGGAUGAUGAAGAUAUUGCUGUGACAUGUUUUGUCCAGUCACACAAAUACACCAAUGAUUGCAGCUCUCCAUGAUGACAUAGUCAUGCUGAGGUGACUCUCUCUCUGUUCUUCCAGGUGAAACUGAGAAAAUCCAAGAAGAAGAAGAAACCCAGUCGUGGCAGUAUGAUCUUCAUCAGCGAGGAGAAAGAGCGGAGCAGCACCCUCGACAAACGGCUUUCCAAGAAGCAGGAGUUUCGCAGUGACACGAAUCUGUCAGAGCCGAUUGAGAGCAGAAGCGGCCUCGUCAACUCCAGAUCUCUGCCCACUAUUGCAGGUCUGGCUCUGUCAGUAGCCAAUGGGAGUGAGGAGGUGGAGUCAGCGCGGUCCAAGCGUGACAGUAAAAGCGCCUCAGUGUGUUUCCCAUCUGACCGCACCAGUGACCGUCGCUCCAAAGGAGUCAUAAACCUGCUCUUUAAAUCCAAGGUAACACACUCGACAGAGAUUUAA